rnacentral:misc_RNA from 1 species
ACUCUGGAUAUCACGUUUUCCUCUGUUUUCCGGUUGCUUCUCGACUCGCACUUGCAUGGCCAUGGCCACAUCCGCCACAUGGCCAUCUCGCAUCUUUAGAGGUUAACUAUCAACAUUUCAUCUAAAAGCAAAACCAUGAAUCAACCUCAAGAAAAAUUAGUUGAACAUCUAUUGAGAAAAUCAUUGCUAUUCAAAAAUAAAUGUUCAGCUUCUUAUAGGAUUAUACAAAGCAGAUUGACAAAUCAAAGCUUGGAGGUGGCAUCACAGAGUGAAUUGAGUAUAAAUUUUACCAAACAGAAGAAUCUACUGAAAGUAUGCCAAUGGUGUUCCUGUUAUUGGUCAGAAGGGAUGUACUCGUUCAAAAUAGAGCCUCAGAAACGCACAAGUAAAUUCAUGCGCUCUUUGUUGAACAGAGAUGUGGGAAUAUUGACUGAAAUGCAGGUGAAGCGGAGAAACAAAUGUACGAGUCGAUGCAAUAGAAUGGUUGUGACGUGUCAUGUAUGUAAAAAGGAAACUAAAGUACCUCUACAAAAGCCGGACCUCAUUACCAAUAAACUCCAGUCGAGUGAGCAGACCACCCUUCCAUUGAAAUCCAAGAAGAAAAAGAAAAAGAAGGACUCUUAUGCUGGCUUGAAGUCGGAAGCAGUUCUCAAGUGCAAAAUAACCGGUACAGAAAAUCAAUCAACAAUUCCUGGUCCAGAGCAUAAACAAUCGAACAAUGCUUCAAAUAUUGUUACAACUUCAACGAUAAAUAGUAAUCUAUCUACUACUUCUAAUAAUACAAAUUCUGUGUUUAGUAUUCAGAAUAGGCAUUUGAAGAAAAAGAAGAAAAAUAAAAUGAAUAUUGGAAAGUUGAAACAUACUCUUGCGAAAGAGAUGAAGAGUAAUGUGCCAACAAUUUCGUCAACAGAAACUAAGAAAAAGAGCAAUAACUCUCUACUCUCUGCGUUUCUCACAUCGUUAUAAUGUGAGGAAUUAGUGUAGUGCUACACAUAAUAGUAGAGUGGAAAAAUUGUGAAUGUUUUAAUAAUGCACUUGUCUUUUUAUUAAGUUUUAUCUCAAACGUUAUUACAGAUCAUGAUUUCAAAAGUCGAUAUUACUCUUCAUUAAUGUUUUACUGAACAAAUCAAAAUUAACUGGUUUAAAAAUAUAGGCAGUAUAUCUUUUUUGAGGUUGCAACUAGAUUAAUUGAAACAUUUUCCAAUUUAUUGAAACUAUAAUUGCAAUUUAGCAAUUAUUGCACAAUUUGAAUUAUUGAAUGGUCUUUCACAGAUUGAUUUAACAUUGAAUUUUUAUAGAAUGUAUAAACGUUCACUGAAUGAACUAUCAUAGUAAUGGCCGGUUGCAUAGUCGUCACAUAACUUUAUUGGCUCGUAUUUAACCUAUGUGCAUCCACAUAAACACAAUUUGCGUUUUACAGACGCCACACUGCUAUGUGGGAUGGUAAACUGAAUCAAGUACAGGUAUUAUCAGUCUAAUCGUCUUCUUCUUCUGACUUCUACGGUAUAGGCAUGAUUGCCUGUUACGGUCUUUAAAAUAGCCUUGGAAAUUAACAUUCAUCAAAAAUAUAAGUUAAAAUUUAACUUUAUGAUCGUGUCUAGUUUUAAGACACGGUAGUUUUAACACCUUUUCCUUGGUCUUCCAACGUCUCUCUUACCUGAUGGUUUAUAGUUGAGACCUUUCACAGGGAUUCUACCGGUUGGCAUUCCAUCUAUUUAGAAACUUUUUAAUUUCUUCAUUGGCUCAACCUCGAGCUCCUCUCGAAUGUCCUCAUUCCGGAGUAGAUCCAAUCUUGUGCAUCCCUUUACACUCCUUAGAAAGCGCAUCUCAGCCGCUUGGAUUCUGCUGAUUUCUUUUCUACCUAGUACCCAUGAUUCGCUUCCAUACGUCAACUCUGGGAUAGCCAUGGUCUUGUAGAAUUUCAGCUUUGUAACUCUCCUUACUUUAUUUUUCAAUGCCCUAUGAAUUGUUCCACAAAUAUAUUGGAUUUUUUUUAACUUAUUGAAAAUAUCUUCAUCUUUUUCGUAGGUUAGAGUACAACCCCAAUAAGUAAAGGCUCAAACUUACUCCAAGAUAGAAUCUCCAUUCACAAUUUUUGUUCGGACUAGCCAUUUUCCUUUGAAAGCAAUUACUUUUAUCUUUGUAGCUGAAACUCGAAGGUCUUACUCCACACAGAUUUUUGUCAGUUGAUAAAUGGACAGUCUAAUCGUAUUACACUAAAUUAUCGCAAAUUUCAGAUGAAAAGUUCAGUUAGCGUUUCCUAAUUUGAACUUCAAACGACUUAAUAUCCCUGUGUGCUCAGCAGCAGAGGUUUGCUUACAAAGACAUCAAACAAAUCUGCUUUUAACCGAAAUUGAGAGUUUUACAGAAUAUCUAUUCAUUACAUCCUCCUUUUAAUCAAUGAUUAAAGAUAUCAAGACAUGAUUCCCACAGAAAAGCCUCCUAAUUAAUAAAA